GACGAACGCUGGCGGCGUGCUUAACACAUGCAAGUCGAACGGAAAGGCCCUGCUUUUGUGGGGUGCUCGAGUGGCGAACGGGUGAGUAACACGUGAGUAACCUGCCCUUGACUUUGGGAUAACUUCAGGAAACUGGGGCUCAUACCGGAUAUGAUCUCCUGCUGCAUGGUGGGGGUUGGAAAGUUUCGGCGGUUGGGGAUGGACUCGCGGCUUAUCAGCUUGUUUGUGUGGUAGUGGCUUACCAAGGCUUUGACGGGUAGCCGGCCUGAGAGGGUGACCGGCCACAAUGGGACUGAGAGACGGCCCAGAAGGCUACGGGAGGCAGUAGUGGGGAAUAUUGCACAAUGGGCGGAAGCCUGAGGCAGCAACGCCGCGAGCGGGAUAACGGCUUUCGGGUUGUAAACCGCUUUCGCCGGUGACGAAGCGUGAGUGACGGUAAUGGGUAAAGAAGCAACGGCUAACUACGUG
rnacentral:rRNA from 1 species